CGCGGAACCUCGCGCGCCUACACGGCAGCGUCUGAGGGAUGUCGCGUUUCGGAGGGGCCUUCUCCGACCACACCGACCUGCCCUAAGUCCGCUUGAAGGCGGCCACUACCCAUGGAGGGUGCGAGGCCCGUACGGGGAUACUUUGGUCGGGCGGUCGGACGGCCCCGUCCGUAGAGUCGGGUUGCCUACUAACGCAGCCCAAAGCAGGUGGUAAACUCCAUCUAAGGCUAAAUAUGACCACGAGACCGAUAGCGAACAAGUACCGUGAGGGAAAGUUGAAAAGAACUUUGAAGAGAGAGUUCAAUAGUGCGUGAAACCGUUAAGAGGAAAACGGGUGGAAGCUCGAAGGUCGAACGGGGGGAUUCAGUCUGACUGUGUCGGAGGGCUGGUGGUGGUUUUGAGCCUUUGAUUUUUGAUCGGGGGCUCGGGCCCCAUUGGCCCGUUGUUGACGCGGACGGGCGUAUUUGCCCCUUAGUAGGACGCCGCGACCCGUUGGUGGGUUUGCCGAAGGCCCGGGUGUGGGUGGAACCAUCGUCUGUUGAUGGGGACCCCCCGGUGUCCUUUGCGAGCCUGCGACGGUGUGGAGUGCAAGUGCCCGCCCCCCUCUUUUGGGGGGGGCGCCCCUGGAGCAGGAGCAUCAGCACUUGUUGUUGUUGUUGUUGUUGUAUGGGCAGCGGCGGUUUUGUGCGGCGUGUAGUCGGUGAUCCNCUUGACCCGUCUUGGAGCACGGACCAAGGAGUCUAACAUGUGUGCAAGUCAUUGGGCUUGCUAAACCCAAAGGCGCAAUGAAAGUGAAAGGCCGCCCAUUUAGGCGGCCCGAGGGCUGAUCCUUUUUGGCGCAAGCUCGGGACUCACACGUCCCAUCGUGGUCGGUGAGUACCAAGAGCAGACAUGUUGGGACCCGAAAGAUGGUGAACUAUGCCUGGCCAGGACGAAGCCAGAGGAAACUCUGGUGGAGGUCCGUAGCGAUUCUGACGUGCAAAUCGAUCGUCGGAGCUGGGUAUAGGGGCGAAAGACUAAUCGAACCGUCUAGUAGCUGGUUCCCUCCGAAGUUUCCCUCAGGAUAGCUGGUGCUCUUUACAGAUUUUCAUCCGGUAAAGCGAAUGAUUAGAGGUCUUGGGGACGAAACGUCCUCAACCUAUUCUCAAACUUGAAAUGGGUGAGAGGUCGGGCUUGCUUGACUGAAGCCCCGACGGAGAAUCUGGAGUACCUAGUGGGCCAUUUUUGGUAAGCAGAACUGGCGCUGUGGGAUGAACCAAACGUUGAGUUAAGGGGCCUAAAUGGACGCUCAUCAGAUGCCAUGAAAGGUGUUGGUUGCUAUAGACAGCAGGACGGUGGCCAUGGAAGUCGGAAUCCGCUAAGGAGUGUGUAACAACUCACCUGCCGAAGCAACUAGCCCUGAAAAUGGAUGGCGCUCAAGCGUCCUCCCGAUACUCGACCGUCGGGGCAGUAGCGGCCUGCCAGGGUCUCGAAGCCCCGACGAGUAGGAGGGUGUUGGCGGUGUGCGUCGAAGGAGUCCGGCGUGAGCCGGUCUGGAGCCGCCGCUGGUGCAGAUCUUGGUGGUAGUAGCAAAUACUCGAGCGAGACCCUUGAGGGCUGAAGUGGAGAAGGGUUCCAUGUGAACAUCAGUUGAACAUGGUGCAGUCGAUCCUAAGCCCAAGGAGAAAUCCGCCUUCCACAGUCCCGCCGUGCCGACGACGACAAGGAAGGUGUGUGGUGUGUGUUGGGAGUGUGGUGAUGACGACGACGACGACGACGACCACCACCACCCAGCACGGGUCGUCGUUGUGUCGAUCGCUCGAUCAGGUCCGUCUAGCAGAAGCACCACCGCCAGCACCACCACCCCGGUGGCGGCGGAGCGGGCUGUUGUUGUUGUUGUUUUUGUUGUUGGUGGUGACGACGACGACGACGACGACGACGGCCCGGCCGCUGCUCGGGCGCGCGGUCAAUGCGGCCGGGAGGUUGUGGGCGAAAGGGAAUCCGGUUCUUAUUCCGGAACCGCCCCCCGGAUAAGGUUUUACCCCUCGCCUAAAGGUACUCCUGGCAACAGGAGAAAACCCGCUGCUGCCGGCCGCGGUCCAGGGAAGAGUUUUCUUUUCUGCUUAAGAGGUUUUGGCCCUGGAAGCUACUUGCAAGGCGAUAGGGUCUUUUUAGCCGUAGAGCGUGGCAGUUGUUGCGGCGUCCUGAGUACCGUGAUCUUUUGCCGGUCCAUGAAGCAGCGGGGGAAGGGGUGGAAUUUUCGGGG
rnacentral:rRNA from 1 species